ACCAUCAUCGUCUAGUGGUUUAGGAUACCAGAUUUUCAUAGACAUGAAAUAUUCUGGGGGCCGGAGUUCGAACCUCCGUGAUGGUG